UACGUAGGGGGCAAGCGUUGUCCGGAAUCAUUGGGCGUAAAGCGCGUGUAGGCGGUCCGAUAAGUCUGCUGUGAAAGUCGGGGGCUCAACCCUCGAAGGCCGGUGGAUACUGUCGGGCUAGAGUGCGGAAGAGGCGAGUGGAAUUCCUGGUGUAGCGGUGAAAUGCGCAGAUAUCAGGAGGAACACCAAUUGCGAAGGCAGCUCGCUGGGACGUAACUGACGCUGAGACGCGAAAGCUAGGGGAGCAAACGGG
rnacentral:rRNA from 1 species